rnacentral:rRNA from 1 species
GAUGAACGCUGGCGGCGUGCCUAAUACAUGCCAGUCGAGCGAACAGAUAAGGAGCUUGCUCCUUUGACGUUAGCGGCGGACGGGUGAGUAACACGUGGGUAACCUACCUAUAAGACUGGAAUAACUCCGGGAAACCGGGGCUAAUGCCGGAUAACAUUUAGAACCGCAUGGUUCUAAAGUGAAAGAUGGUUUUACUAUCACUUAUAGAUGGACCCGCGCCGUAUUAGCUAGUUGGUAAGGUAACGGCUUACCAAGGCAACGAUACGUAGCCGACCUGAGAGGGUGAUCGGCCACCCUGUAACUGAGACACGGUCCAGACUCCUACGGGAGGCAGCAGUAGGGAAUCUUCCGCAAUGGGCGAAAGCCUGACGGAGCAACGCCGCGUGAGUGAUGAAGGUCUUCGGAUCGUAAAACUCUGUUAUUAGGGAAGAACAAAUGUGUAAGUAACUGUGCACGUCUUGACGGUACCUAAUCAGAAAGCCACGGCUAACUACGUG